CAGAUUUCUCACAGGAGCUGCGGUGCUUUCAGACUGUCACUUGCUUCCAGGCUGUUGUGAAUAAUUUGGAGGAUGCACAUGAGCUGAUUGAUACAGCGAUCUCGACGGCGCUGAAGGAGAGCAAGCCGGUUUACAUCAGUAUCAGCUGCAAUCUUCCGGCGAUUCCCCAUCCUACCUUCACUUGCGACCCCGUCCCCUUCUGCCUCUCCCGGAAAAUGAGUAACCCGCUGGGCCUCGAAGCAGCUGUGGAAGCGGCGGCCCAAUUCCUGACCAAGGCCGUUAAGCCAGUCCUAGUUGGAGGACCAAAGAUAAGGGUGGCCAAAGCUGGGAAUGCUUUCGUCGAGCUAGCUGAUGCUUGCUGCUACCCGGUGGCUGUGAUGCCCUCGGCCAAGGGCCUGGUGCCUGAGCACCACCCCCACUUCAUUGGCACCUACUGGGGUGCAGUGAGCACUGCUUUCUGUGCUGAG
rnacentral:misc_RNA from 1 species